AAGAGGAGAGGGGGAGAAAAGAGGAGAGAGAGAAGAGGAGGAUGGGAGAAGGGGAGAGGAGGUACUGUUUGUCUCCGACCGUUCCACUCAGAGGACUCUACCUUCUGUUAUCAAUCCUGCGUCUGUGACACCAGAUUGCCACCUAGUGGCCAUAAGAGGAACUGUCCUGUCAGUGUGUUUUCACUGCUGGCUCAAAACAACACAUGACCUGCAUACAUGAUAUGACUCGUACUACUGCACUACUUCUGAAGAAGACCAGAGUCAUUUCAGAAUGAAGACUGCUAUAGUUCUGAUGGUGUUGCUGUUCUGUCUGUCUGGGGCCUGGACUCAGGGAGAGA